rnacentral:rRNA from 1 species
GUGUCAGCCGCCGCGGUAAUACGUAGGGUGCGAGCGUUAAUCGGAAUUACUGGGCGUAAAGCGUGCGUAGGCGGUCUCGCAAGUCCGAUGUGAAAUCCCCGGGCUUAACCUGGGAACUGCGUUGGAAACUAUGAGGCUCGAGUGCGGCAGAGGGGGGUGGAAUUCCAGGUGUAGCAGUGAAAUGCGUAGAGAUCUGGAGGAACACCGAUGGCGAAGGCAGCCCCCUGGGCUAGCACUGACGCUCAUACACGAAAGCGUGGGGAGCAAACAGGAUUAGAAACCCUGGUAGUCC